rnacentral:rRNA from 1 species
AAUAGAUACCCAGGUAGUCCACGCCGUAAACGAUGAGUGCUAAGUGUUGGGGGGUUUCCGCCCCUCAGUGCUGCAGCUAACGCAUUAAGCACUCCGCCUGGGGAGUACGGCCGCAAGGCUGAAACUCAAAGGAAUUGACGGGGGCCCGCACAAGCGGUGGAGCAUGUGGUUUAAUUCGAAGCAACGCGAAGAACCUUACCAGGUCUUGACAUCCCGCUGCCCGGUAUAGAGAUAUAUCUUUCCCUUCGGGGACAGCGGUGACAGGUGGUGCAUGGUUGUCGUCAGCUCGUGUCGUGAGAUGUUGGGUUAAGUCCCGCAACGAGCGCAACCCUUGAUCUUAGUUGCCAGCAUUUAGUUGGGCACUCUAAGGUGACUGCCGGUGACAAACCGGAGGAAGGUGGGGAUGACGUCAAAUCAUCAUGCCCCUUAUGACCUGGGCUACACACGUGCUACAAUGGAUGGUACAAAGGGCUGCAAGACCGCGAGGUUUAGCCAAUCCCAUAAAACCAUUCUCAGUUCGGAUUGCAGG